rnacentral:rRNA from 1 species
GAGAAUCUGCGUUAGUUGCCAGCAUUAAGUUGGGCACUCUAACAAGACCGCCGGUGAUAAAUCGGAGGAAGGUGGGGAUGACGUCAAGUCAUCAUGCCCCUUACGCCCAGGGCUACACACGUACUACAAUGCUGUGGACAAAGGGCAGCAAGCGAGCGAUCGCAAGCAAAUCCCAUAAACCACGGCUCAGUUCAGAUCGAAGGCUGCAACUCGCCUUCGUGAAGGUGGAAUCGCUAGUAAUUCCAGAUCAGCAUUGCUGGGGUGAAUUCGUUCCCGGGUCUUGUACACACCGCCCGUCACACCAUGGAAGUUGGUUUUGCCCGAAGUCGUUAUUCCAACCGCUUGGAGGGAAACGCCGAAGGCAGGGCUGAUGACUGGGGUGAAGUCGUAACAAGGUAACCAAU